CGCCUUCCCUGAAGCCUAUAAAAGCGCAGGUCCCCGCCUCGGCAGCCACGGGACACCUGCAUCUGCCAACAAGACUGGAAGCAGAAAGGGACAGAGACGGCGAAGUUUGACGGUCUGGAAAGCAGAGACCAGCAGGGCUGACUGCUUGGGAGCACGAGGGACAGCUCUCCACCGACCGAAGGAGGAGAAUGCUAUUUAUUUCAGCAACAAUUAUCCGGACAGCGCCUCUCGGGAGGUCCGA